rnacentral:ncRNA from 1 species
UGGUUCGACGACCGAUUAAAAUGGGAACGGGGUGCGAAACCCCGACUGUCCCGCAGCUGUGAAUCGCCCUUUUAAUGGCGCAAGCAUGAUGUCACUGAGAUUUUCGGGAAGACGCUUGCGUACUGAGCGACAAGUCAGAAGACCUGCCACGAUGU